AUCUUCACUCCAGGAGUGAGAGUGAAGACUGACUGAGAAACUUGCAGAAAGAAAACACCAGGAAGGAAAAUGAAGAUGGUCACAGCCAAAGCUAGGUACUAAGCAGGGAAGAGAAUUUAGCCCCGAAAGAACAUUAAUAAGAAAAGGGAUCACCUGUGGAUAAGAAGACAAAGCAAGAACAUCACAAAGGGUCAUUUAAGCAGAUACUAUACAAAAGUGGAUUUUAAGUGAACCAUGUGAACACUUAAGUGGAUGAGAAAAAUGUUCUUGAACUCGGAGCUGUACAAGGCAAAGAUACAGUUUAAAAUACAAAUGAGAACAGUCUAAACAGAAAACACACAUGCACACACACUUCUGCUUGAAUUACUAUUGUUGCAUUUGUUUUACAUAAAUUAUGAGAGAGAAGGUAGUUAUGGCACUAUAGUCUUCAAGUCUGUUAGCAACUGUACACAGGUUUAUAGCUUUGCUGCUCAGGUGUGUUAACUAAUUUACUUACAAAAUUGUGCCAUAUGAAUAAAUGACUAUAUGCCUUCCACUUUCAGUACCUGCUGCUUGUUCAAUAUGCAGACUACACUACAGCUUCUGAAACUUUUAUAUCCUCCUUUGCAGUCCUCCUAACUCAACUGACUGUGGUGUGCAUACUGAAGUUUAGAGACGUUUGUUCCACUAACUUUAGUCUCCUCACCCUUAGCAUUUGGAAAAACACAGCACGUGGACUAUUACUACAUGCGAGUAUGUUCUUUUCCUAACUUUGAUGGAGGACUGGGACGUUGUUACAUAGUAAAAUUAGAUAUUCUUUUCAUCACGUUCUCCCAAAAUUUGUCAGGUCUGUUUUUUUCAUAAUGUAGUAUUGAAGGAAUUUUUACUGUCUCACUCAGUGUGGAAGUCAACAGGACUUCUGGAGAGUUCUCCUUCUUUGUAGGAGAACAAAAAUAUAUAUAUAUCCUUCCAUAAUAUUUGUAUACUACCUUUUCCCCUCUGUCACAAAGAAAAGAAAGAACUUGGAAAAAAAAACUGCACUCAAAGACUGACAAAGGAAAGAGAAAGGCUCUUGAGCAGUGCCAUCAGAAGAGACAGACACAGUCAGAAAGAGACAGCAUUAACAGAUGAGAUCACUACUUGGAAGGACAAGGAGAGAAUCUUCAGCACACUUCCCUCCAAAGCCUGGAGCAGCAUCCAAGAUCUGAUUGUCAUCAUUGCUUUCCUUUUCAGUUAGGACUGUGCGCUCCUCCUGGCCUGCUCCACUCACCUCACUUGGCACUGCAGGACUGGGCCCAAGCUGGUAUAGUCACUACCUUCAUGCUUGUCCUGCCCUCCUUCAGCUCCUCAUCCCUAAGGAAGCAGCUGGCUCUCACUGAGUCCUGACAUUUAGUUCAGACCAGGACUGGAGUCCCAGGGCUGAGCUGAAAUGAGGUUACCAGGACCCAUGGGAAAAGGCUGGAAACCCCAGGGAGGCUGCUCAGGGGCCAUUAAGACUUAAUAGCACACUCAGGGCUGUGAAACAUGACCUGCAAAAACUCUGACAGCAAAUCCUUCCACCAGUUAAACAAAGUAAGUAGCUAGUAUCACAAGAAGACAGUUACACUUUAUGGAAAUCUGGAUUGCUGUGGCAUAUUUACCUGAAAGCCAGUAUGUCUAACCAGGUUAGACUUCAAUUUGUCACAACAGAAGCCUGACUUCCAUUUCAAUCUAGGAAUACAAAGCCUAGCAGAAAUAUUUAAAGCAGACUGAAGAAAUAAAUCUCACAUCCUGGAUGAAAUCGAUCAUAAGGGACUGCAAGGUAUUCACAGGGGAAAAUCUCCAUCUGUAGAUCUGAGAUGCAGGCAGACACAGCUGGAUUGCCAAAUGUGAAUCAAAAGUAAUACACUUUGCAUUAUUAGUUUCACUUAAAAUAAAAGUCCUGGAUUUUUAAAGCCACAAGAAUCAUAAAGUUUUACCCGUUCUCUUCCCAUUUCAAUCCUCUCCUUCAUAAACAGACUACUGUGGUAGAAAAAAAGCUGGAUGAAUUUAAUUUUCCAGCACAAAUAUCUUAAAUAGAAAGAUGAUUACAUAUUAUAUUUUCCUAGAAAAUAUGAACUUGCAAAAAAACCAAAAUCUCACUGAGGAUUCACCGUUGAUUACGGUGCUUUUGAAGACUGUUUCUCCAACUAAAAAAAAAGUAGAAAGUUGUUUUAGCAUAUAUGAUUUUAUGUAACUAAUAUGCUUGAACAUAUAGAAUCCAUUUCCUGCUCUCUAGGAACAGAAGGGGAUUAGUCCAGAUCCACAGGUGUUACCAGUUAAUAGAACCUACAAAAGACUAACCUUUAAAAAGUAGGUAUCUGCCAAAUACAUGGAAAUGUAUGGUAGUAUGAUGUUUGGAAAAUCUUCCUGCCACAUGUAUAAAUGAUUUUAUUUUAUUUUUUUUCUUGCUGCUGCUGUCCAUUCUCCACAAAUAGCUCAUAUAACCUAUAAUCCUUGACACAUUUGUAA